UUAAAUUGAAGAGUUUGAUCAUGGCUCAGAUUGAACGCUGGCGGCAGGCCUAACACAUGCAAGUCGAACGGUAACAGGAAGCAGCUUGCUGCUUUGCUGACGAGUGGCGGACGGGUGAGUAAUGUCUGGGAAACUGCCUGAUGGAGGGGGAUAACUACUGGAAACGGUGGCUAAUACCGCAUAACGUCGCAAGACCAAAGAGGGGGACCUUCGGGCCUCUUGCCAUCAGAUGUGCCCAGAUGGGAUUAGCUUGUUGGUGAGGUAACGGCUCACCAAGGCGACGAUCCCUAGCUGGUCUGAGAGGAUGACCAGCCACACUGGAACUGAGACACGGUCCAGACUCCUACGGGAGGCAGCAGUGGGGAAUAUUGCACAAUGGGCGCAAGCCUGAUGCAGCCAUGCCGCGUGUAUGAAGAAGGCCUUCGGGUUGUAAAGUACUUUCAGCGGGGAGGAAGGUGUUGUGGUUAAUAACCGCAGCAAUUGACGUUACCCGCAGAAGAAGCACCGGCUAACUCCGUGCCAGCAGCCGCGGUAAUACGGAGGGUGCAAGCGUUAAUCGGAAUUACUGGGCGUAAAGCGCACGCAGGCGGUCUGUCAAGUCGGAUGUGAAAUCCCCGGGCUCAACCUGGGAACUGCAUUCGAAACUGGCAGGCUUGAGUCUUGUAGAGGGGGGUAGAAUUCCAGGUGUAGCGGUGAAAUGCGUAGAGAUCUGGAGGAAUACCGGUGGCGAAGGCGGCCCCCUGGACAAAGACUGACGCUCAGGUGCGAAAGCGUGGGGAGCAAACAGGAUUAGAUACCCUGGUAGUCCACGCCGUAAACGAUGUCUACUUGGAGGUUGUGCCCUUGAGGCGUGGCUUCCGGAGCUAACGCGUUAAGUAGACCGCCUGGGGAGUACGGCCGCAAGGUUAAAACUCAAAUGAAUUGACGGGGGCCCGCACAAGCGGUGGAGCAUGUGGUUUAAUUCGAUGCAACGCGAAGAACCUUACCUGGUCUUGACAUCCACAGAACUUUCCAGAGAUGGAUUGGUGCCUUCGGGAACUGUGAGACAGGUGCUGCAUGGCUGUCGUCAGCUCGUGUUGUGAAAUGUUGGGUUAAGUCCCGCAACGAGCGCAACCCUUAUCCUUUGUUGCCAGCGAUUCGGUCGGGAACUCAAAGGAGACUGCCAGUGAUAAACUGGAGGAAGGUGGGGAUGACGUCAAGUCAUCAUGGCCCUUACGACCAGGGCUACACACGUGCUACAAUGGCGCAUACAAAGAGAAGCGACCUCGCGAGAGCAAGCGGACCUCAUAAAGUGCGUCGUAGUCCGGAUUGGAGUCUGCAACUCGACUCCAUGAAGUCGGAAUCGCUAGUAAUCGUGGAUCAGAAUGCCACGGUGAAUACGUUCCCGGGCCUUGUACACACCGCCCGUCACACCAUGGGAGUGGGUUGCAAAAGAAGUAGGUAGCUUAACCUUCGGGAGGGCGCUUACCACUUUGUGAUUCAUGACUGGGGUGAAGUCGUAACAAGGUAACCGUAGGGGAACCUGCGGUUGGAUCACCUCCUUACCUUAAAGAAGC
rnacentral:rRNA from 1 species